rnacentral:rRNA from 1 species
AACGGCCAUACCAUGCUGAAUAUACCGGUUCUCGUUAGAUCACCGAAGUCAAGAAUCAUUGGGCGCGGUCAGUACUUGGGUGGGUGACCACCUGGGAACACCGCGUGCC